rnacentral:RNase_P_RNA from 1 species
GCAGUGAACCAGGCAACCGCGUCUUCGCAAGGAGACGAGGAAAGUCCGAACUCCGCAGGGCAGUGCGCCGGGUAACGCCCGGUCAGGGUGACCUGAAGGACUAGUGGCACAGAAAACAUACCGCCCGCCGGCGCUCGUGCAAACGAGUGACGGAAGGUAAGGGUGAAAAGGUGCGGUAAGAGCGCACCGCGCCGGCCGUAAGGUCGGUGGCAGGCAAAACCCCGCACGGAGCAAGGCCAAAUAGGGAGAUGUCAGCCGCAAGGCUGGAAAGCACGGCCCGUGCGAGAUCUCCGGGUAGGCUGCUUGAUCCCGGCAGUAAUGCCGGGGCUAGAGGAAUGGUUGUCAUCCGUCGCAAGGCGGAAACAGAAUUCGGCUUACGGUUCACUGCAGCC